GAAGCUUUAGUUAAAAAAUAACCUAAGAAUGUCAGCCUUAAAUUACUUACCUAUAAGUAAGCUUCU
rnacentral:tRNA from 1 species